rnacentral:rRNA from 1 species
GGGCACGGGGGGACUCCUACGGGAGGCAGCAGUGGGGAAUUUUGGACAAUGGGGGCAACCCUGAUCCAGCCAUGCCGCGUGAGUGAAGAAGGCCUUCGGGUUGUAAAGCUCUUUCAGUCGGAACGAAACGGUUCGCUCUAACAUAGCGUGCUAAUGACGGUACUGACAGAAGAAGCACCGGCUAACUCCGUGCCAGCAGCCGCGGUAAU